rnacentral:other from 1 species
GUGGAACUGCCCGGUGCGUUUAGGCAACUCAACCCCUGGGCCGAUAAGCACUUCCUUAGGGAGCUGGCUCUGUCGUGGCCCUGGUCACGUUACCCGGCGCCCACCUGCGUGAGCAGGUCCGGGAGGGCUGAAAGACCGACGGCCAUGGUGGUUCCACA